AAAUCGACUCUCGGCAACGGAUAUCUCGGCUCUCGCAUCGAUGAAGAACGUAGCGAACUGCGAUACUUGGUGUGAAUUGCAGAAUCCCGUGAACCAUCGAGUCUUUGAACGCAAGUUGCGCCCGAAGCCAUUAGGCCAAGGGCACGUCUGCCUGGGCGUCACG
rnacentral:rRNA from 2 species